CAGAGGUCUCAAGCGUUGUUCGGAUUCAUUGGGCGUAAAGGGUGCGUAGGCGGCGCGGUAAGUCGGGGGUGAAAUCUCGGAGCUUAACUCCGAAACUGCAUUCGAUACUGCCGUGCUUGAGGACUGGAGAGGAGACUGGAAUUUACGGUGUAGCGGUGAAAUGCGUAGAUAUCGUAAGGAAGACCAGUGGCGAAGGCGGGUCUCUGGACAGUUCCUGACGCUGAGGCACGAAGGUCAGGGGAGCAAACGGG
rnacentral:rRNA from 1 species